rnacentral:rRNA from 1 species
UACGUAGGGUGCAAGCGUUGUCCGGAAUUAUUGGGCGUGAAGAGCUCGUAGGUGGCCUGUCGCGUCGGCUGUGAAAACUCGGGGCUCAACUCCGAGCUUGCAGUCGAUACGGGCAGGCUAGAGUUCGGCAGGGGAGACCGGAAUUCCUGGUGUAGCGGUGAAAUGCGCAGAUAUCAGGAGGAACACCGGUGGCGAAGGCGGGUCUCUGGGCAGUAACUGACGCUGAGGAGCGAAAGCGUGGGGAGCGAACAGG